GACGAACGCUGGCGGCGUGCCUAAUACAUGCAAGUCGAACGCUUCCGACCGGUGCUUGCACCGGGAAAGAAGAGUGGCGGACGGGUGAGUAACACGUAGGUAACCUACCUACAAGCGGGGGAUAACAUUCGGAAACGGAUGCUAAUACCGCAUAGAUCUUUUUGUCCCCUGGCAGAAAGACGAAGGACGGUUUCGGCUGUCACUUGUAGAUGGCGCCGCGGCGCAUUAGUUAGUUGGUGAGGUAAUGGCUCACCAAGACGAUGAUGCGUAGCCGGCCUGAGAGGGUGAUCGGCCACACUGGGACUGAGACACGGCCCAGACGCCUGCGGGAGGCAGCAGUAGGGAAUCUUCCGCAAUGGACGAAAGUCUGACGGAGCAACGCCGCGUGAGUGAAGAAGGUUUUCGGAUCGUAAAACUCUGUUGUUAGAGAAGAACAAGGAUGAGAGUAACUGCUCGUCCCUUGACGGUAUCUAACCAGAAAGCCAUGGCUAACUACGUGCCAGCCGCCGCAGUAA
rnacentral:rRNA from 1 species